GUUAAGGUAGCUCAGUGGUAGAGUGCUUGCCUUGCAUGCAUGAGGCCCUGGGUUCCAUUCCUCAAUA
rnacentral:tRNA from 1 species